rnacentral:tRNA from 1 species
UCCCUGGUGGUCCAAUGGUUAAGAUUCUACACUCCCAAUGCAGGGGUCCUGGGUUCAAUCCCUGGUCCAGGAA